CCACCACUGAGCCCCCAGCCCCUCAAAGAUGCUUUUUAAGGAAACAAAUGAACAAGAAGAGAACCACCUUUGAGAGUGAAUGCAGAGCAUGGCGGGUGCAGAGCGCUUUGAGGGCAAGCCUCCCCAUUCAUGGGCACCAGCAGUGAGAAGCGGGGCUGGGGCUGCUGCAGAGAUCAGCUGACAAGAACAGGCAGCAGUGGCAGCAUGUGUUGCUUGGUCAGUUCUCCAGAAGGAACUGCUCCACUUUAGGGUGAAUCUGUUACCUUGACUGCUCUUGGAGCUCCUACUACCCUCGGACACCUUGUUACAGCGUUUGUCAAAGAGAAGUUCUCAUCAGCUCUCCAGGGCAGAAACUGCUGUUGCAAAACUCUUGCUCCAUGUGAAGGCAACAGGAUGCAACUCUGGUGACCCCGAGAGGCCAUCCACGAGCUCUGGUCAGAGCCACAGAAUUGCACAAUGACUGCAGAGGCUAUGUAAGGCAGAGCAGAUGGGGACAGCAUGGACACCUGUCUGGGGCACUCAGUGUGCCCUAGAACCAGGGAAGUGCAGCUGAUUGCCUUGUCAUAAAGUGGGGCCCACGCUUCUGAAACAGUGUUCUCAGAAACGCCACAAUUAGUGAAUGACAUACCCAUUGCAUAAGACUUCUUGGAUAGUACAGGGGAAAUGAUCUUACCCAGAGGUCAACCUGUCCACUGCCUUCAUCAAAGUCUGGCUGGGUGAGAAUGGCACAGUCCCCUGGACUCAGUCCCUCCUUCCAGGCACUAUUAGCUAGGGGCCCAUCAAGUCUCCAUACUGUUGACAGCAAGUGACAGAGAGCUGCAUGCCUGCACAGCUGCUUAGAGGAACCUUAUUUGUAAUAGUCUCAAGUUGGAAACCACUCCAGCGUGAAGCAACAGGGAUUUCUGAUGCCUGACCUCCCUGGACCCUCAACUCCAAGUGGCAGAUUCUCCUGAUGGCUCAUGUCCCCUUCUUGCUCUGCUUGUCCUGCCACAGUGAUGGCAGAGGAAGGGUGCAGAGGGGACUGUGGGCUGGUGGAAAGUGGACUGUCCCAGAGGAAGGAGUCUGUGUCCUUCCCGGUACCUGCAGGGAUACCGCCGGGACAGCCUGCUGAAGACCUUGCCGCAGCCAACGCAGACGGCGGGCACCACGGAGGAGAGCUGCUGCAGCCUCUGCCACUGGCGGUCCUUCUCACUGAUGGACAGGGACAGGGCGGAGGCAGAGGCAGACAGAGAGACAGGAAGGAGGAGAUGACCCGGAUGGAGGGACAGAGAGGGGCAGAAAGAGGAACAUGGAGGCAAAGAAGGAGGAAGAGGGGGAUGGAGAGGGUGACAGAGGCAGGUGUACCCAGGUACACAGAAAGACAAAGUGAGAUGGGGACAAGGGGCAGGGGGACAGAAAUGAAGAGGGAAGUGGAUGAUGGGAGACAUCCAGAGAGAGAAAGGACGUUGGAGAGUUGGAGAGGGGACGGAUGCACAGAGAAGGAGAGAGACACAAAUGUAGAGGGAGAGAAAGACAGAGGACACAGAUGCAGGCACACACGGAGACAAACGGUGAUGGGGAGAAGUGAACAGGAGUGAGACACACCAGAGCUGGGUUAGUUCAUUCUUGGAGAAUCUGGAUGGUGACACCCAGCUCCCGGCUCCCAGCAGAACGUGACCCAGACCAAGAACCCCUUCACCUCCUCCCAGUGCACCCCUUGGUCACAGAAGCCCCUGUGGUCCUGGCUCCAGGUGCCUACAGCAUUUAAGGCCCACUUCACCUUUUAUCUGGCACUUGAAACAAACUGGCAUAUAUUUAUCUGUGUCUGCCCUUGCAAAACUAUCUUCACUGUUUUGUUUUUUUUUUAAAGGAUGUUUAGAAAUAUCAGUUGUUUUAAAAUUUUGUCAAAAUAAUACAUAUACACAUUUUAAAACUCAAAUAGCACAGAGGGCACAUAUUAAAAGACACUGGCACCUCCCCCUCCUUUCUGUUUUCAGUGGAAACUCAUUCUUGCAGGUUUUUUUUUUUUCUUUUUGGUAUUAACUUCCAUAUCUCCCUCCUUCAGUAGAGAAUAGUUGUUCUGGGGCCCUUCCCUUGACAGCAGAGCAUUUAGCUUAUUUAUUACCAUCCUUGCCAGUUUCUCUUCCUUCUUCCAAUGGAGUUAUAUCCCUAUUUUUGGUUCCUCUGUUGGUUACCAUUAGAAGUUUCCAGAAUGUACUCAUAUUUUUUUCUCAUUCUAUCUAUGACUCCCGUUCGGUAAUAUGAUAUUGCCCUUAUCCCUUCCCUCAUCUCUUCUCCUUCCUUCUCCUCCUAACUUGUCUUCUAUUCCUGAAACAUACAAUAUGGUAGCCACUUGCCACAUGUGUCUAACUGAGUUAAAAUUAAAUAAAAUGAAAACCUUCAUUCCUGUGUUGCACCGGAUCAAUAUUUUAGGUGCCCCAUCUCAACAUGUGAUCUGUGGCUACCACGGAGUCAACACAAAUAUCAAACAUUUUGUCUUCACAGAACCUUUAUUGGAUUCUCCUGUAUACUUAAUGUUGUUAAGGUGAUAACAUUCAUGUUUUGUUUCUAUAAUUGUCUCCUGUGCUUUGUCUUUAAUUUGAUUCUAAGGUUGAAAAAAAGAUAAAGAAUUGCGUUUACAUUAUUAGAUAAUAUAUAUACAUAUUAUGUCCCAAAGAAUUGUAUUCUAUAAUUUAUAAGUUGUGUUCUAUCAUU